rnacentral:lncRNA from 1 species
UAUCACAUCUGCAUUGUUUCAAUUCAAUAUUCAAUAAUGACCAAUUGACCACAACAACAAUUUGGAUUGUUGUAAGCCAACCGUAUAUAUAUCAUCUUUUUCAUACGCAGUAAAAGCCCAAAUUCUGAAAGAGAAGACAUUUGUAUGUUACUCAGUAUAUACCUCUUUACGAAAGCCAUUUUUAGAAACUUCAUCAGUCCAUGUGAGUUUCCCAUCUUUUAUAUAUUGAACUUGAAUAGAAUUUAUCAUCAUGCCGUAGUAGAUAAUAAUUUUUAUUAGCCCAUUGUAGCCACUCUGAUCGAUGGAUCGUUUGAAAUUGAUUUGGGGAUUUCGUUAAAGCUUGCUGUCGUCGGGUUUCAUCAUCAGAUCACGGAACAUUUGAUGAUCUGUGGAUGCAGUGGAGUGUAGUUGAGGCUGAAGGAAGCAUCGAGCAUCGGUUGGCCGAUCCCUGAUGGAUUUUGGGAGAGAUUUGGGGAAAGGAAUAUCUGAUGGAGAGAUUUAUCACGGUUUCGGGAUUUCGGAAUAUCUGAUGAUCUUUGCUUGCUUUCUCUACGAUUCGGAAAAUGUAAGUUAUUAUUAUUACUCUCUAUUUCUAUUUUAACCAUCAAUCUGCCAAGUGCCAACGCAUAUUUGAGAUUUCGUACUAAAAAAUGGGCAGUAUUAAAAUAGGAACAUAAAAUGACAUAUACAACAAGUGCAGUGUAAAAUGGCAACCCUUUGUUAAACCUAAUGGAUCACCUAAUAAAUUAAAUUUUAGCAUGCUUUAGAAGCUGCUUUCUACAAAGAAAUGAAUGAUGAGCCAAUAAGUGGAUUGGUAUUGGCUGGGUUAAAUUUAUUUUAUAUAUGAUAGUUCUGAUUCCAGUUUUGAAAUAUUGCUUUCAAUUAAUACAUGAUAGUGAAAUUUUUGCUAGCUAUAUAGAUCUUCUAAUUCUCAAAAUUACUAAAACAUCAAGAAGAGCAUUCUAAAUAGUCAACAGACACACCAAAGAGAAAAUCAUAACUAUUCCAACACAUCAUAUAUUAAGAGUAUUGAGUUGGGCAUUUAGAAAGAAAUUGCCCUGGCAAACAGAAUUUCAAGGCUUAUUCUGUUGAAUAUACUUAUGAUUAAUUACUCAUUGGCCAAAUUCUGGGAGAGUUUCGACUCUAUCUUAAACACAUGGAUAAAAGAUAGAUAUAUCAAAGGAAUUUCCCUUAACAACAUCCAGAUCAGAAGCUCCAUUCACUCUCACUUCUGGAAAUAUGCGAUGGGGGCCAGGGCAAAGGAAGGUGCUCGGGUGGAAUGGAAGCUCAAGCAGGAAUCUUUCAAUUAAAAAAAAAAUUAAAGAGAAACUUAAUUGAUUAAAAUAAAAUCUCUCACUGACGACAUAUCAUAUUAAUCAUCUCAAGGACUAUUUAAAUUUUAAACUAAUAUGAGUCAAUAAGCACUUCUUUUGACAUCAUGAAAUUAUGAGGACCAUUUUUUUUUAUGAAUUAAAACUUUCAUUUCUGAAAAUUAGGUUUGGGCAGUGCGCCAUUGUGCCAGAGGAUAUCGAUGCAGUGAUGGAUGGUAAAUAAAUUAAUGAUUUGUUUUGCAAUUUAUUAUUUAAAUUUCCUUUGUUUUUUCUAACAGAGAGAACACAUGGAGAUAUGCUGCUUUGGCCGACUGUUUCUUUCAUAUAUCUAACGAGGCUUCAAGGAGGGAAGGAAGCAUCGACAUCAUGUAUCAAUGCAUCAGAUAGAUAAUACAGGUUUCACAAGCUAGCUUUUAAGAUUACCCAAUACCGAAGGUCUGCCGCAUAUCUAUUUGCUUUCUCUAUGGCGUCAUGCUAAAGAAUGGGAAAACU